GGGGAUGUGACUCUGUGUAGAGCGCUUGCCUAGUAGGUAGGAAGCCUGGGGUUCAACUCCCAGCACCACCA
rnacentral:tRNA from 1 species